rnacentral:rRNA from 1 species
CCUACGGGAGGCAGCAGUGAGGAAUAUUGGUCAAUGGGCGUAAGCCUGAACCAGCCAAGUCGCGUGAGGGAUGAAGGUUCUAUGGAUCGUAAACCUCUUUUAUAAGGGAAUAAAGUGCGGGACGUGUCCCGUUUUGUAUGUACCUUAUGAAUAAGGAUCGGCUAACUCCGUGCCAGCAGCCUCGGUAAUACGGAGGAUCCGAGCGUUAUCCGGAUUUAUUGGGUUUAAAGGGUGCGUAGGCGGACUUUUAAGUCAGCGGUGAAAGUCUGUGGCUCAACCAUAGAAUUGCCGUUGAAACUGGGAGUCUUGAGUAUGUUUGAGGCAGGCGGAAUGCGUGGUGUAGCGGUGAAAUGCUUAGAUAUAACGCAGAACCCCGAUUGCGAAGGCAGCCUGCCAAGCCAUGACUGACGCUGAUGCACGAAAGCGUGGGGAGCAAACAGGAUUAGAUACCCCAGUAGUC